GACGAACGCUGGCGGCGCGCUUAACACAUGCAAGUCGAACGGAAAGGCCUGCUUUCCCUUGUGGAUUGCGGGUACUCGAGUGGCGAACGGGUGAGUAACACGUGAGUGAUCUGCCCCCAACCUGGGUAUAAGCCUGGGAAACUGGGUCUAAUUCCCGAUAGGACUGCAGGGUGGUGCCUGUGGUGGAAAACGAUUUUCUAGUGGUUGGGGAUGAGCUCGCGGCCUAUCAGCUUGUUGGUGGGGUAAUGGCCUACCAAGGCGGCGACGGGUAGCCGGCCUGAGAGGGUGGACGGCCACAUUGGGACUGAGAUACGGCCCAGACUCCUACGGGAGGCAGCAGUGGGGAAUAUUGCACAAUGGGCGGAAGCCUGAUGCAGCGACGCCGCGUGGGGGAUGACGGCCUUCGGGUUGUAAACUCCUUUCGACCGCGAGGAAGCCACCUGGUUGGAAGGGUGGUGACGGUAGUGGUAGAAGAAGCACCGGCUAACUACGUG
rnacentral:rRNA from 1 species